rnacentral:tRNA from 1 species
GGGGAUGUAGCUCAGGGGUAGAGCAUUUGACUACAGAUCAAGAGGUCCCCGGUUCAAGUCUGGUUUCCCCC